AUGUUCAUGAAAAUUACUUGUAUACUUAAGUGUUUUUGGUGCCUCUAUUGGACUGUUUUUAGAAAUAAUAAUGCAAGUGUUUUUGAUUUGUUUGUUUAUUUAGAGUAAUAACUUGAUUACCACAUUAUGUAGUAUUUUAAUCUGCUGGUUACUAAUUUUCUAUUACAGAUGGUAUUUUUCUUUUUUAAAAGAAGUAUUUAUUUAUUUGAGAGACCAAAUUACAGCGAGAGAGAAAGAGAGAAAGAGAGAAAGAGAGAAAGAGAGAAAGAGAGAAAGAGAGAGAGCACGAGAGAGAGGUGUUUUUCAUCCACUGGUUAACUCCCUGAAUGUCCACAACAGCCAAAGCUGGGCAGAUCAGAGCCAGGAGCCAGGAGCAGGAGUGCUCUUCUGUCUCACACAUGGGUGCAGGGGCCCAAUGACUUGGGCCAUCUUCUGCUACUUUCCCAGGCACAUUAGUAGGGAGCUGGAUCAAAAGUGGAGCAGCUGGGAUAUAAAUGAGUGCCCAUACGGAAUGACAGCAUCACAGGCGGCAGCUAAAACUGCUAUGUCACAAUGCCAGUACCCAUAUGUGAUGCUGGCACUGCAGAUGGCUGUCUUACCUGCUAGGCCACAGUGCUGUCCCCGACAGUGAGAUUUUGAUAGACCACUGCUCCAAAAAUUAAUAACUAGGUAGCCAUGGUUAGGUAACUCGGUUUGUAACACUGCAAUCUGAGUGGAAAUAGUAAUUGUCUUUGCCUGAUCCUGGCCUUCAAACAUCGGUCUUUUGGUCUUCUCCCCUUCUUCUUCCUGCUUCACAGACAAGUUUUGAAGCUGUCAAGGAUAAAGCAUGUCAAUCAGUGAGAAGUAAUGCACCUUUAGUUAAAAUCACCCCAGCAAAAAUGUCACAGAUGUCCCAUCAGCUCUCAAACAUUAAAGAGGUCAUCCUAAUGGAUAUGGGGAAGUAUUGCACAUUGGGGAACAAGACAGCCACGGUAUUGACGAGUUUGAAUCGCUGUGUCUGCACACAUGGCCAACAGACCCUCGAGGAAGUGAAGACGGCACUGAACACAGUGAACUCCGUCCUGUUCUGCAGAAGACGGCACAGAACCACAGUUAAACAGGCCAUGCAUGUUCUCAUCGGUUUCCUGAGUCUUGCUAGGAAGAUCAUUCUAGACUUCUGAAAAUAUUGUAAGUCUUGUCCUUGAUUUAUAUGUCAGUACCCAACAUGAUCAUUAAAAUGUAUGCUUGUAUAAAAAAAAAAACACACUACAAGUUCAGGAAUUCAACUUAAAAAUGAGACUAAGAUUUCACCUUAUUUAUUUGGAUAACUACUGAUGUCCAUAUAGUUUUUAUGAGUGCCAUUAAAACAAGAAGUAGUUCUUUCGUGCUAUUUUUUUCUAAGAAUAUUUUCCUCAAUGAGACUUCACAGAAAUAUUUUUAAAAUUCAGUUUAAUAAUCAGAAGUAAUUUAAUCAAUUUUUAAUUUUUUUUUACUAAAUUUACAGACUUAAAAAUGUUUUCUAAACCACCAACUGCAAUUUUCAAAGUGAAAUGAACCUCUCAGAUGUGAAUCUGGUGCCUAAACUUUUCUUAUAUUUCAGUUAUAAUAGAAAAAAAACACUUAGUUUUCC
rnacentral:lncRNA from 1 species